rnacentral:lncRNA from 1 species
CCCUAUUGUGUCUCAUAGGUAUGGUAAGGGGUUGGCUGAAGAAAGUUUUUGGGUUGGGACAAGGGAUUAUAGUCCAUAUCUGGUGCUUCCUUCAGUUAUGGAGUUCGUUAACAGGUUCGAAGGCGGUCUUAAGGGAAUCAUAAAAAGGAAUCAUGAUGCUGUUGUUGAGAUGGGGAAGAUGUUGGCAGAAGCUUGGGGAACCAAUCUAGGGUGUCCUCCUGAUAUGUGCGCUAGCAUGAUCAUGGUAGGGUUACCGGCUUGUUUGGGGAUUUCAAGUGAUGAUGAUGCUACGAAGUUAAGGCCACAUUUAUGUGAUAAAUUUGGUGUUGAAGUCAGAAUACAUUAUCAAGCUCCCAAAGAUGGAGAGGUUGGAUCAACGACGGGGUAUGUUCGAAUUUGUCAUCAGAUUUACAACAAAGUUGAUGACUAUUACAAGCUCAGAGAUGCAGUUAAUCAACUAGUUCGUGAUGGAUUCACUUGCGCUCUUGAGGUAUGUAUAUGCUCUGCCUUCAUCCAGUUUAUUGGUUUGUAAGCUAGACAUACUAUACACUGCAACUUGCUAAAUUUGGUUUGCUUACUUGUUAUUGACAUGGGAUUUUACGUUAAUCUGUAGAUCAAUGAGGCCUGAACUCCGUUCGAUGAAAAAAAGAAGCUAUAUGGUCCUAUAUCCUGCAUGCUUUGCUAGUUGUGCAAUGGAUUUUGUACCAUUAACUUCUGAAGUGCUCCUGAGCAAACAAGUAUAUAUAUAGAGAAGUUCAUGAAUUUUCAGUUUGAUAUGCAGAAAAGUUCAUGUAUGAAUACAUUAACAAUUAUCUGUCGGUUUGGUUGUGAUUCGCAGAGAUUAGGACUCGAUUUGAACACAGCACCUCAUGCAAUCAGUUUGACAAUAAGUGAAACACAAUGUGUGCUUGAACAACAAGACUUACCUGAAAGCACUUGCACUCCUUUGCAGUUUUAUAAUAAGCAAUUGUAACUGAUGCAUUCCUUAAAAGCCCUUCAAUUAUUUACUCUUCAUCUUUCUAAUAUAAUGUGUUAAACUGUCUCUUUGAGCUCAGUGAUUUAAUCCCAGAACUUUUAAGUUACCGUGCCCACUUGAACUAUAUGAGUGUUACUACAAAUGGUAUCAGUUCAGCCAUAAGCUGCAUUUGUUAAUAAGCUGAUAUAUUUACUAAAGUGAUGUUUUUCUUGCCACAAAGGCAAACCUAAAUCCAUGGUUCUCUAGCGUUCCAUUUUCCAUGCAUAAUUUCCAGCACAUCACAUGUAGAUAGCCAGAUUCAAAAGCAUGAAAAUAUGGAAGUUGACUUUAGAUUAAUACACCAAACUUUAUAAGAUUGUCUUUUGGUGACCCAAAUCUUAAAAUCAACGUCAUAAUCCUUUAUUUUUCUCCCUAAUCAAUUUAAACCUCCCUAAUGUCAUAUAUAAAACAAGUGAUUUUGGUCGUAGCUCUCUUGUCUUUUGUAGUCAAGACAAGCAUUGAGACAUAUCAAGAGUCCGCAAGAAUAUUACAAAUUAAUAAGUUGAACAAUGACUAUGAAUGAGAGAUCAUUAACGCCCAAUUUCAACAAACGCUUAAGGUACUUAAAAUCAUCAUGUUCAAUUAAUUCUUGCCUCGACAAUACAAUCGGCGCUGAUCCUCAUUAAUUUGCUAAUGUCUUUGUUGUGUAUGGUUCUGGUUUGAGUGAGCAGGUCAUGGCUAAAAAGAUUAUUAUGUUUUGCCGCCACUAUGUUCCACCUAUUCUUCUCCUUCCUUAUCAAACCUUCCAAUUCCUCUACCCCAAGCUUUCAUUUCAAGUCUCAAGGGCCUCUAACCACCAUUUCCACAACCUCAAAGCUGAUGAAAUCCAAACCCAUGUUCCCAUUGAGACAAAACUCUCUUCUUCCUUCAUCACAGACUCCGAAAUCCAAUCUGAAUUUGCUCACCAUGCUCCUGGUGUUGCCAGGAUGAACAAUGGCAGCUUUGGUUGCUGCCCUGCUUCUAUCAUCUCUGACUUACAUCAAUGGCAGCUCAAAUUGCUCCGCCAGCCGGACCAUUUCUACCUGAAUGAGCUCCAGAACAGGAUACUCGAAUCAAGAACCGUAGUUAAAGACCUUAUCAAUGCAGAAGAUGUGGAUGAAGUCUCCAUUGUAGACAAUGUCUCCACUGCUGUAGCCAUAGUCCUGCAGCAGACGGCAUGGGCCUUUGCUGAAAGGAAAUUCAACCAAGGGGAUGCUCUCAUUAUGUUUCACUGUGCUUAUGGAGCGGUGAAGAACUCAAUCAAGGCCUACUUUCUGCGUGCUGGUGGGUACGUUAUCGAAGUUCCAUUUAAAUUUCCGCUGAAUUCCAAUGAAGAAAUCAUAAGUGAAUUUAGGAAAGCAUUGGAGAGAGAAAAGGGUAAUGGUAGGAGAGUGAGAUUAGCUGUGAUUGAUCAUGUCACAUGCAUGCCAAGUGUUAUAAUGCCAGUUAAGCAUUUGGUCAAAAUUUGUAGGGAAGAAGGUGUCGAACAAGUUUUAAUAGAUGCAGCUCAUGGUGUUGGGUGCAUAGAUGUUGAUAUGCAAGAAAUUGGGGCAGAUUUUUAUACUAGCAAUUUGUAUAAGUGGUUCUUUUGCCCACCUGCAGUUGCAUUUCUGUAUUGUAGGAAGUCAGUGACAAAUUCAGAUUUGCAAUUGCAUCACCCUGUGGUGUCUCAUGAGUAUGGCAAUGGGUUGGCUAAAGAAACUGGUUGGGUUGGGACAAGGGAUUACAGUCCUUAUCUGGUGCUUCCUUCAGUUAUGGAGUUUGUCAAUAGGUUCGAAGGCGGUGUUGAGGGGAUCAGAAAAAUGAAUCAUGAUGCUGUUGUUGAGAUGGGGAAGAUGUUGGCAGAAGCUUGGGGAACCAAUCUAGGCUGUCCUCCUGAUAUGU